rnacentral:misc_RNA from 1 species
GCUUGGCGCUCCGUCAGUGAUCACCAAAGAGCGCACGGAGAGCUUACAUCGUCCUCUUUAGCGGGUGCGCAUCUCUUGAAAUUUGUUCACACACACACAGACACCCUCCAACUGCGCAGCUGUCAUGCAGGCUCCCAAGACAAGUACGUCGUCGGAGAAGGGAGAGGUCGUCCCUUCUUCUCGUCAGUCGCUCUCUGAGACACCGUUCGUGGCGGAUCCGGCCGAAGUGGCAGCCUUCGAUAUUCCAGUCGAGUACGUCCGGCGCAUUGAGGAUGCUCAGCGGGCCUAUGGCAACCAUUACAUGGAGCACCGCAUGUACACGGACGCGUGGAAUCAUGCGGCCUUGACGCUGGGCUUCCAGUGCUGCUGGCUUGGGGUCGGUGCGUGGAUCGUUAGCCGCGGUCUGAGCUACUCGGACCCCAUGAACUCCGUUGUCGCGCGGUGGGUUCAACACUCACGGGUGCGUCGGCUCACCACACCCAUCUCGUGUUUCGGGCUGUUCAUCUUCACUGCAACGUGCAUGCAGCUGCCCUACGAUUUCCGACUUCUGCGCGAGGCGUCCGCUGGCAUUGACAGGCAGACAGCUCUCAUGAAGAAGUCGAUGGGCGAGCGCCACUUGGCGUAUCGAGAAGGCAAGAUCGCCAAGGAGCAGUUGGAGGGAAAGGAGGCAGAGGCCUUCGCGAAGGGCAUGAAGGCGCAGUAGAGGGGGAAGGUAGGCCACCCCGCCCUCCUGCGCGUCUUCUGCACGUCCUUGCUGGACUCUCUCGCUCUCCUGAGCCGUCGCUGUCUUUCUCGUGAUGGAGAGGAGAGCGGAAGAGAGGGCGUCCUCGAGAGGGCCUGCCCCGCCUUUUCCCCUCGUGCCCUCCACCCCACCCAACCCAACCUCUUCAUUCCUUCGCGUGAUGACCAUGUCGUGGUGGCUCACGGAGCUGCAGCGAACGUGCCUGUGGUGGCUUGUCCGCCUCGCCUCCUCGGAUGCGGGUGGGAGCGUCGGAGGACGACGGUGGACAACGGCAACGCGUUUGUGCCCGUGGCCGCUGAGGCGCUCAAGUACGUUCUUGGUUUGCUCUUCGGCCUUGUGUGUGUGCGCGCAUGUUUAUUUCUCUGCGGCGCAGCACGCGCUGAGCGCCACACCACGCCCCACGACCGACCCUGUCUCAAGCUCUACUCCCCCACCCCACACAGCCGCCCCCCAAUCAUGCCGGUCGCCACGCCUGGUGCAUCCCCCCUCCCCCCUCCCUCGGGGUGGCACGCAGGCUCCUCCCCACACAUCAGUGGGCCGUGUGAGGCAUACGCUCGAGUCACCCUGACACGUGUUGCCCAUCGUAUGGAUGGCGCAGACGUGUUCACUGUCGAGCCUCGCCCCGACGCACCGCCAUCCCACGGCCGGACCCUGUCACCGGGCCGCUCACACACUCUAAAGAAGAAAGGCGCGAACCAUACGAGCAUGACGCGAUGCAGAAGAAAGACGAGAGAUGGUGAAAACGGCGUGACGGGGAUUCUUGGCCACCCCCAUCUUCCACUCCCGCGAAGGUGCACCCCGAUGCAGCUCCGUGGUACACCGCAGGCGGUGUUACGAUGCAAGCAUGUCUGUGGCACUCAAAACUACAAUCGAAUGGGUGUACGCCAGCGGCGCCGCAGCGUUGCGCCCUCUCACCAGUGGUCUCCUUGCGUAUGACUUCA